rnacentral:lncRNA from 1 species
UGGUAAAGCUCACCACAAAUGGUAAUAAUAAAAGACGAAGUAUUUUUUUCUCACCUUAGGUCAUUAGAUUUACAGACAAGGUACUUAAUCAUUUUAGCUCCCCAAACCUUGAAGGAAAGGCACGAACGCACUCGUGUCCCUUUCUAUUCUCCUCCCCCUUCUGAAGAAACAUGCAACGGGAACAGAGACAAAACAGUUGCGGAGGCUCGAAGAAUGUCUCCCUUUAGUAGUUUACUAGUAGUAGUAGUACUACUGCAACAAAUAAUAGUUGAGUUGACGUUGGCUGCAGUGUGUGGAUUGUCAGUGGCCUCUUCCCAGUUUUAACAUGAAGGGUCAUUAAUUGUGUUUUCUUUCCAAAUCAAAUGUCACUGCAAUUAACAGAUUCUGAUCAAGAGACUCCUUUCAGAUUGAUUCCAUAUGUGAUAAGGAAUGUGCAGCUUGUUAUCUAUCUGUCGCCUUGGAAUUAUGGAAAAGCUUCAAACGUGUAAUUUGAAGAGUCUUUUACCCAGCGCUUUGAUCUUUCCCUCUAUUUUUUAACUCUUGUUUUACUGCCUCCCUUCUCAUAAUCCCACUUGUUUGUUUACCCCCCUUUCCCCAGUGGCUGUGUCCCGUCCCUCGUGUGCUGUGGCACGGCGCAGCUCCCACCCUGCCCGCACCCCGGCACCCCGCGAGAGUCAUCCUGAACCCUCAGCCCUCCCUACAGCUCUCCCACAACUUCCACCGAGCAGCCUUCGGCUCCUCAGACGGGCACUGCGGCAGAGACAGACACCCCGGGGCCAGGGCCACCUCCGUCCCCGCGGUCCCCCGUGUCCUGGCGGAGAGGGGCGCGGCGGGGCUUGAGCGACAAGAACCGAGAGGAGGGUCCCGGGGGCAUCGGGGCGGGUGCGAUGCUGCCCACGGAGGGUGUCCGGUUCCGCAGCCCCAGAGCCGACCGCGGGAUCGGGGACGCCCCGCGGCCGCCGGAGGGAGGUUCGGUUUUAACUCGGCGAUGCUGUCCCGGCCAGGAGACACGUGUCUGGCCGGCCGAGGAGCGCUCCGCCGCCGCGGCUCCCCGGGGGCGGCGGCCGUCGGGCCCCGCGCCGCCGCUCCCCUCGUCGUCCUGCAGGACCGGCCGGCUCCAGCCUCUCCUUCUCAUCUCCCUUCGGCUCCAGCCAGGCAAAGCGACCCCCGCUCGGCUUCGCUCUUCCCCUGCUAUUUCCUCGUCCGUGGGGAACGGCCUUCUCUCCGUUCCCUGCUCGGCUCCCGUGGCCGCCUCCCGCUCGCCUGGCCCUGCCGAGCUGCUCUCCUGGCCCGGCACCGGCUGCCCCUGGGCCCGCGCUCGUCCCGUCCCGCUCCGGCCCCCGCUGCCAGAGGCGUGCGGCGCUUCUCGCUGUGGGCAUCGCUCCCGCAGCCUGGGAAGACGUCUCCUUUCCUCUUUCUCGUCCCCACCGUUUGCUGUCUUCUCCUCUUUCUUUUCCCUCCCUCUCAGCUAAGAAUGGCAUCCCUUACAGAUUUCUCCUCCUGUCCACUCGGUACAGCUAUGCUUCCUCUCAGUUUCUUUCCCAUUAAUAAAACAUCCCUCACCCUCACCCUGACCUGGGUCCAUUUGCACCCAUAAAUUUCUCUCCUCCCUUGUCUCCCUCUCGGCUGCCCACCGCCACUUACCCGCGGCAGCCCCCUCCCGGCUCCGGGGACACCCCCCGGCCGUCCCCACACCAGCACCGCUGCCGGCGGCUCCCACGGGGACGAAAUCGUAUUGAUUGUGCUGUUGAUUAAAAAUCAGAAAAUAAUCCCGCCAGCUUUGACACUCCGCGCCAGACGUGCAGCCACAAAAAGACGGGUCCGGUUUUGUGGGACACGCGUGUACCCCCGUGGCCGCGUAACACCAGAGCCGCGAGCACGACCGCAUCAAACGGCUACCGAUCGGCAAUCCCAAGUGUCACAUCCGCCCCUCUUCUCUCCGAAGUAGAUAUUUUUAAAAGUUGUUGUCUGCACCCAAACUCUCCCCCGACCCCCUCGACAUCGCGUCGCCCCAGCAGGCGCUGCCUCUGCAGAAAAGUUUAAAGUACAUCAGGACGUGGCGUUAGCCGCCUGUUUUACUUUUGAGUAAAAAGGAAAUAAACCUAUAACUGAAUUUAAUAUUUUUAUCUCC